CCGGCUUAGUCCGGUGACUGCGUACCUUUUGUAUAAUGGGUCAGCGACUUAUAUUCAGUAGCAAGGUUAACCGCAUAGGGGAGCCGUAGGGAAACCGAGUCUUAAUAGGGCGUUUAGUUGCUGGGUAUAGACCCGAAACCAGGUGAUCUAUCCAUGAGCAGGUUGAAGGUUGGGUAACACUAACUGGAGGACCGAACCCACUGUCGUUGAAAAGCCAGGGGAUGACUUGUGGAUAGGGGUGAAAGGCUAAUCAAACUUGGUGAUAGCUGGUUCUCCCCGAAAGCUAUUUAGGUAGCGCCUCGGACGAAUACCAUUGGGGGUAGAGCACUGUUUCGGCUAGGGGGUCAUCCCGACUUACCAAACCGAUGCAAACUCCGAAUACCAAUGAGUACUAUCCGGGAGACAGACUGCGGGUGCUAACGUCCGUAGUCAAGAGGAAAACAAUCCAGACCGCCAGCUAAGGCCCCAAAAUUAUAGUUAAGUGGGAAACGAUGUGGGAAGGCAUAGACAGCUAGGAGGUUGGCUUAGAAGCAGCCACCCUUUAAAGAAAGCGUAAUAGCUCACUAGUCGAGUCGGCCUGCGCGGAAGAUGUAACGGGGCUAAAACUAUAUGCCGAAGCUGCGGAUGCAUAAUUUAUUAUGCGUGGUAGGGGAGCGUUCUGUAAGCCGAUGAAGGUGGAUUGAGAAGUCUGCUGGAGGUAUCAGAAGUGCGAAUGCUGACGUGAGUAACGACAAUGCGAGUGAAAAACUCGCACGCUGAAAGACCAAGGGUUCCAGUCCAACGUUAAUCGGGGCUGGGUGAGUCGACCCCUAAGGCGAGGCCGAGAGGCGUAGUCGAUGGGAAAUUGGUUAAUAUUCCAAUACUUCUGUGUAAUGCGAUGAGAGGACGGAGAAGGUUAAGUCAGCCUGGCGUUGGUUGUCCAGGUGGAAGGUUGUAGGCAUGUAUCUUAGGCAAAUCCGGGGUACUCUAUGCUGAGAACUGAUAGCAAGCUGUACUUGUACAGUGAAGUGGCUGAUACCAUGCUUCCAGGAAAAGUCUCUAAGCUUCAGUUACACAGGAAUCGUACCCGAAACCGACACAGGUGGUCAGGUCGAGUAGACCAAAGCGCUUGAGAGAACUCUGCUGAAGGAACUAGGCAAAAUGGUACCGUAACUUCGGGAGAAGGUACGCUGUUGUCUGUGAUAGGACUUGCUCCUUGAGCGGCCGACAGCCUCAGAAACCAGGCCCCUGCAACUGUUUAUUAAAAACAUAGCACUCUGCAAACACGAAAGUGGACGUAUAGGGUGUGAUGCCUGCCCGGUGCUGGAAGGUUAAUUGAUGGGGUUAGCGUAAGCGAAGCUCUUGAUCGAAGCCCC
rnacentral:rRNA from 1 species